rnacentral:rRNA from 1 species
GGCCUAACACAUGCAAGUCGAACGACGCUAGGGGCAACUCUAGUGAGUGGCGUACGGGUGAGUAAUGCAUCGGAACGUGUCCUCUUGUGGGGGAUAACCAGUCGAAAGAUUGGCUAAUACCGCAUGAGCUCGAGAGAGGAAAGCGGGGGAUCCGCAAGGACCUCGCGCGAGAGGAGCGGCCGAUGCCCGAUUAGCUAGUUGGUGGGGUAAAAGCUCACCAAGGCGACGAUCGGUAGCUGGUCUGAGAGGACGACCAGCCACACUGGGACUGAGACACGGCCCAGACUCCUACGGGAGGCAGCAGUGGGGAAUUUUGGACAAUGGGGGCAACCCUGAUCCAGCCAUGCCGCGUGUGUGAAGAAGGCCUUCGGGUUGUAAAGCACUUUCGGACGGAACGAAAUCGCGCGGGUUAACAGCCCGCGUGGAUGACGGUACCGUAAGAAGAAGCAC